AAUCAACGCUGGCGGCGUGCCUAACACAUGCAAGUCGAACGAGAAAGGGGAGCAAUCCCUGAGUACAGUGGCGACCGGGUGAGUAACACGUGACUACCUACCCUUGAGUGGGGGAUAACCUCGGGAAACCGAGGCUAAUACCGCAUAAUAUCGCAAGAUCAAAGGAGCAAUCCGCUCUUGGAGGGGGUCGCGGCUGAUUAGCUAGUUGGUAGGGUAAUGGCCUACCAAGGCGAAGANCGGUAUCCGGCCUGAGAGGGCGCACGGACACACUGGAACUGAAACACGGUCCAGACUCCUACGGGAGGCAGCAGUGGGGAAUUUUGGACAAUGGGGGCAACCCUGAUCCAGCCAUGCCGCGUGAGUGAAGAAGGCCUUCGGUUGUUAAGU
rnacentral:rRNA from 1 species